CCUACGGGUGGCAGCAGUGGGGGAUAUUGCACAAUGGGGGAAACCCUGAUGCAGCGCCGCCGCGUGAGUGAAGAAGUCUUUCGGUAUGUAAAGCUCUAUCAGCAGGGAAGAAAAUGACAGUACCUGACCAAGAAGCCCCGGCGAACUACGUUCCAGCCGCCGCGGGAAUACGUAGGGGGCAAGCGUUAUACGGAUUUACUGGGUGUAACGGGAGCGUAUACGGUUAUGUAAGUCUGGAGUGAAAGCCCGGGGCCCAACCCCGGGACUGCUUUGGAAACUGUGUAACGGGAGUACAGGAGGGGCAGGCGGAAUUCGUGGUGUAGCGGUGAAAUGCGGAGAUAUCAGGAGGAACACCGGCGGCGAAGGCGGCCUGCUGGACUGAAACUGACGUUGAGGCUCGAAAGCGUGGGGAGCAAACAGGAUUAGAUACCCUAGUAGUC
rnacentral:rRNA from 1 species